rnacentral:rRNA from 1 species
CCUAGUAACGGCGAGUGAAGCGGCAACAGCUCAAAUUUGAAAUCUGGCUCUUUCAGGGUCCGAGUUGUAAUUUGCAGAGGGCGCUUUGGCGUUGGCAGCGGUCCAAGUUCUUUGGAACAGGACGUCACAGAGGGUGAGAAUCCCGUACGUGGUCGCUAGCCUUCGCCGUGUAAAGCCCCUUCGACGAGUCGAGUUGUUUGGGAAUGCAGCUCUAAAUGGGAGGUAAAUUUCUUCUAAAGCUAAAUACUGGCCAGAGACCGAUAGCGCACAAGUAGAGUGAUCGAAAGAUGAAAAGCACUUUGGAAAGAGAGUCAAAUAGCACGUGAAAUUGUUGAAAGGGAAGCGCUUGCAGCCAGACUUGCCUGUAGUUGCUUAUCUGGACUUUUGUCCGGUGCACUCUUCUGCGGGCAGGCCAGCAUCAGUUUGGGCGGUUGGAUAAAGGUCUCUGUCAUGUACCUCCUUUCGGGGAGGCCUUAUAGGGGAGACGACAUGCAACCAGCCUGGACUGAGGUCCGCGCAUCUGCUAGGAUGCUGGCGUAAUGGCUGUAAGCGGCCCGUCUUGAAACACGGACCAAGGAGUCUAACAUCUAUGCGAGUGUUUGGGUGUCAAGCCCAGACGCGUAAUGAAAGUGAACGGAGGUGGGAACCCUUUGGGUGCACCAUCGACCGAUCCUGAUGUCUUCGGAUGGAUUUGAGUAAGAGCAUGGCUGUUGGGACCCGAAAGAUGGUGAACUAUGCUUGAAUAGGGUGAAGCCAGAGGAAACUCUGGUGGAGGCUCGCAGCGGUUCUGACGUGCAAAUCGAUCGUCAAA